rnacentral:rRNA from 1 species
AUUGAACGCUGGCGGCAUGCCUUACACAUGCAAGUCGAACGGCAGCGCGGGGCAACCUGGCGGCGAGUGGCGAACGGGUGAGUAAUAUAUCGGAACAUACCCUAGAGUGGGGGAUAACGUAGCGAAAGUUACGCUAAUACCGCAUACGCACUAAGGUGGAAAGUGGGGGAUCUUCGGACCUCAUGCUCAUGGAGUGGCCGAUAUCUGAUUAGCUAGUUGGUGAGGUAAAGGCUCACCAAGGCGACGAUCAGUAGCUGGUUUGAGAGAACGACCAGCCACACUGGAACUGAGACACGGUCCAGACUCCUACGGGAGGCAGCAGUGGGGAAUUUUGGACAAAUGGGGGGCAACCCUGAUCCAGCAAUGCCGCGUGUGUGAAGAAGGCCUGAGGGUUGUAAAGCACUUUAGUUGGGGAGGAAGAAUCCAGAGAUGAAUAAGCUAUGGAAAUGACGUUACCCAAAGAAUAAGACACCGGCUAACUCUGUGCCAGCAGCCGCGGUAA